AUUAGCUUCACACCUUUCUCACCGUGUGUGCUUCUUUUCUGUUUUCUACUGUGUGCAGCUAAAGUGCUUGAUGAUAUGAAAAUGAGGCAUGGGGUUAUGACAAUUGGUCGAAUUCGGAUCAAAAGGGAAGUUUCUCUUCUACCAUCAGUAGCCAUGUUUCAUGAUCACAUUUCAGUAUGGGCUGGAGCAGAUUAUGCAGAAAUGAUUCAUAGAUGUAUGCUUCGAUGAACAAAGUCAUGAGCAGAGAUACAAAACUUUCAAGACAUUUGAGCAGACAGAAGGACUUGGAGGGCACCAGCGACUCCUCAUUGCAAGAAUGCGAGCGACUUGGCACCACAUAGGGUAGCAGCGGAACAGGCUUCGCCAUGAUGAUUCUCCUUU